rnacentral:rRNA from 1 species
AACGGCAGCACGGGAGCAAUCCUUGGUGGCGAGUGGCGAACGGUGAGUAAUAUAUGGAACGUGCCAGUCGUGGGGGAUAACGUAGCGAAAGUUACGCUAAUACCGCAUACGAUCUAAGGAUGAAAGCGGGGGAUCGCAAGACCUCGCGCGAUUGGAGCGGCCGAUAUCAGAUUAGGUAGUUGGUGAGGUAAAGGCUCACCAAGCCAACGAUCUGUAGCUGGUCUGAGAGGACGACCAGCCACACUGGAACUGAGACACGGUCCAGACUCCUACGGGAGGCAGCAGUGGGGAAUUUUGGACAAUGGACGCAAGUCUGAUCCAGCCAUUCCGCGUGCAGGAUGAGGGCCCUCGGGUUGUAAACUGCUUUUGUACGGAACGAAAAGGUUUCUAUUAAUACUAGGAGCUCAUGACGGUACCGUAAGAAUAAGCACCGGCUAACUACGUG